rnacentral:rRNA from 1 species
UAAAAACCCCGACUUCGGAAGGGGUGUAUUUAUUAGAUACAAAACCAAUGCCCUUCGGGGCUCUUAGGUGAUUCAUGAUAACUAUACGAAUCGCACGGCCUUGCGCCGGCGAUGGUUCAUUCAAAUUUCCUCCCUAUCAACUUUCGAUGUUUGGGUAUUGGCCAAACAUGGUUGCAACGGGUAACGGAGGGUUAGGGCUCGACCCCGGAGAAGGAGCCUGAGAAACGGCUACUACAUCCAAGGAAGGCAGCAGGCGCGCAAAUUACCCAAUCCCGACUCGGGGAGGUAGUGACAAUAAAUACUGAUACAGGGCCCUUUCGGGCCUUGUAAUUGGAAUGAGUACAAUUUAAAUCCCUUAACGAGGAACAAUUGGAGGGCAAGUCUGGUGCCAGCAGCCGCGGUAAUUCCAGCUCCAAUAGCGUAUAUUAAAGUUGUUGUGGUUAAAAAGCUCGUAGUUGAACCUUGGGCCUGGCUGGCCGGUCCGCCUCACCGCGUGCACUGGUCCGGCCGGGCCUUUCCCUCUGUGGAACCCCAUACCCUUCACUGGGCGUGGCGGGGAAACAGGACAUUUACUUU